rnacentral:rRNA from 1 species
GACGACCCGUACGAACGUUAUUCGGAAUUGCUGGGCUUAAAGGGUGCGUAGGCGGCGCGGAAAGUAGGGUGUGAAAUCCCUCGGCUCAACCGAGGAACUGCGCUCUAAACUACCGUGCUCGAGGGAGAUAGAGGUGAGCGGAACUGAGGGUGGAGCGGUGAAAUGCGUUGAUAUCCUCAGGAACACCGGUGGCGAAAGCGGCUCACUGGAUCUCUUCUGACGCUGAGGCACGAAAGCUAGGGUAGCGAACGGG